GUAGGUGGUUGUAUAAGUGAAUAGUGAAAUCUGGUGGCUCAACCAUACAGGCUAUUAUUCAAACUGUACAACUCGAGAAUGGUAGAGGUCACNUGGAAUUUCUUGUGUAGGAGUGAAAUCCGUAGAUAUAAGAAGGAACACCGAUGGCGUAGGCAGGUGACUGGACCAUUUCUGACACUAAGGCACGAAAGCGUGGGGAGCGAACCGGAUUAGAUACCCGGGUAGUCCACGCCGUAAACGAUGGAUACUGGCUGUUGGAGGUAUCGACCCCUUCAGUAGCGAAGCUAACGCGUUAAGUAUCCCGCCUGUGGAGUACGGCCGCAAGGCUAAAACAUAAAGGAAUUGACGGGGACCCGCACAAGCGGUGGAUCGUGUUCUUUAAUUCGAUGCUAAACGAAGAACCUUACCAGGGCUUGACAUCCAGGGAAUUUUUGGGAAACCAAUUAGUGCCGUUUGGAACCCUGUGACAGGUGAUGCAUGGCCGUCGUCAGCUCGUGUCGUGAGAUGUUUGGUUAAGUCCAUCAACGAGCGCAACCCUUGUGUCUAGUUGUAUUUUUCUAGACAGACUGCUUCGGUAACGGAGAGGAAGGAGGGGAUGAUGUCAGGUCAGUAUUUCCCUUACGUCCUGGGCUAGAAACACGAUACAAUGGCUAGUACAAUGCGCAGCGAANCCGCGAGGUGAAC
rnacentral:rRNA from 1 species